rnacentral:rRNA from 1 species
UACGGAGGGUGCAAGCGUUAUCCGGAUUCACUGGGUUUAAAGGGUGCGUAGGUGGAUUGGUAAGUCAGUGGUGAAAUCUCUGGGCUUAACUCAGAAACUGCCAUUGAUACUAUCAGUCUUGAAUACCGUGGAGGUCAGCGGAAUAUGUCAUGUAGCGGUGAAAUGCUUAGAUAUGACAUAGAACACCAAUUGCGAAGGCAGCUGGCUACACGAAUAUUGACACUGAGGCACGAAAGCGUGGGGAUCAAACAGGA